GGUAGGCAGGAUGUGACUGACGGUGACCGCGAUGGCUCAUUAAAUCAGCUAUGGUUCCUUAGAUCAUACCUACUACAUGGAUAACUGUAGUAAUUCUAGAGCUAAUACAUGCCACUAUGCCCUGACCCGCAAGGGGAUGGGUGCAUUUAUUAGAACAGAACCAACCGGGGAUGGUUUCGGCCGUUCCUGUUGAAAUCUGUGAUGACUCUGGAUAACUUUACUGAUCGCAGUCGGCCUUGUGUCGGCGACAAAUCUUUCAAAUGUCUGCCCUAUCAACUUCCGAUGGUAGGUGAUCUGCCUACCAUGGUGAUAACGGGUAACGGGGAAUCAGGGUUCGAUUCCGGAGAGGGAGCCUGAGAAACGGCUACCACAUCCAAGGAAGGCAGCAGGCGCGAAAAUUACCCACUCCCAGCACGGGGAGGUAGUGACGAAAAAUACGAAUACGGGACUCUUCUGAGGCUCCGUAAUUCGAAUGAGUACAAUCUAAAUCCUUUAACGAGGACCAAUUGGAGGGCAAGUCUGGUGCCAGCAGCCGCGGUAACUCCAGCUCCAAAAGCGUAUAUUAAAGUUGCUGCAGUUAAAAAGCUCGUAGUUGGAUCUGGGUCGUGCGGUCGCGUGCCGGCGCUCGUUCAUUUGGCUUGAUCUUUGAUCGGGUCGCUUGUUCGUGUCGGUAUCGUGGUCGUGCAGCCUUUCAGCCGUGUCUGUGUAAACAGGUGCUGGCUUGG
rnacentral:rRNA from 1 species